rnacentral:rRNA from 1 species
AUUGAACGCUGGCGGCAGGCCUAACACAUGCAAGUCGAACGAGCGGCGGACGGGUGAGUAAUGUCUGGGAAACUGCCUGAUGGAGGGGGAUAACUACUGGAAACGGUAGCUAAUACCGCAUACCAUCAGAUGUGCCCAGAUGGGAUUAGCUAGUAGGUGGGGUAACGGCACACCUAGGCGACGAUCCCUAGCUGGUCUGAGAGGAUGACCAGCCACACUGGAACUGAGACACGGUCCAGACUCCUACGGGAGGCAGCAGUGGGGAAUAUUGCACAAUGGGCGCAAGCCUGAUGCAGCCAUGCCGAGUGGAUGAAGAAGGCCUUCGGGUUGUAAAGCACUUUCAGCGAGGAGGCGUUACCCGCAGAAGAAGCACCGGCUAACUCCGUGCCAGCAGCCGCGGUAAUAC